ensembl:lncRNA
CAACUGGCUCUGUGAACACUCACAAUAACACAAUACAACUGGCUCUGUGAACACUCACAAUAACACAAUACAACUGGCUCUGUGAACAAUAUACUUGAAAACAUUUUGCAAAGUUCAAGAAGGAAGAUCUUCACCAACAGAUUAUCAAUAUUCAGCUGUUUUCACACACAUUUCUGUUUCAUUUAAUCUUUUUGCAAAGCAAAAUUCUCAUCAUAUAAUCAUUUUAAGUUAACUGAAAGACAGAGAAAAAGAGACCGUGAACGUAAUAAAGAUAAAGAGAGAUAGAAAGAUAAAAGAGAGACAUAGAAAGAGACUCAGAAAGAGGCAGAGAGAAAGGAAGUGAGUGAAAUUCAGGCGUGUCUCUGUGAUUUAGGUAUAAAGAGUGCUUAGUGUGUAGUCAGGGUCCAGUACAUCAGUAUGGAGAAAGCUGUGUGGCUACUGGCUCUUCUGUGUCUGCAGGUCUGUCUGCUCUCCACAGAGGCCCAACCUGGAACAGACAGACUGACAGCUGCCCAAACCAACCAAGACAUGGAUUCAAGGAUUAAAAGAGGGGGGAAUAACCAGAGUAAAUGCCAGAAGAAGCCAAACAUAAGAUGUCGCAACCGCAUUGGAGCGAAUGGUGCUUUGGGUUCUCUACUCCAGUAAUGAGGAGCAGAAGAUGGAGAAGUCAACAAUUGCAAGUGGCAUUGAUCACACCUUGGAGCCAUAACGUCAACUUGACCAUUGCCCAGAAGCUCCAGAAGACAAUCCCAUAUGCUUCGGACUAAUCAUUACUGUAAUAAUAUUUGGAAUGCACAACUGUGUGGAAUUAAGAUCAAAUGUUCUGUGGAAUUUGUUAGCAUUGUUUUAAAAUGAUCAUUAGUAAUUGUCAUGGUAACUUCUUUAAGUUGCAGGUUUGAUUAACAGAGCAAACCUCGUUUCCUUUAACAUCGGGUCCUCCCAAAGCAUCUUUCUGUAGAAUGGUGUGUGUGUCACGGUUGUGGUAGGACACAGGUACAGAGACAGAAUGGUGGAAGUAAUCCAUAUUUAAUCAAAAAGGGGAGACAAAACCAGUGACGUGGGCUAUCCAGUAUAAACACAAAACCAAAAUGAACCACACCAGGGGCCUGUUGCACAAAACCAGGAUAAGGGAUUAAGUUGGGAUAUCCAAGUUAUCCUGGAUUAAUUUAGCUUUGACUUGGUUGCACAAAAGCAGGCUGAAUUAAACCCAACCAAGUAACCAUGGAGAUUUAUUCUUUGCAGCUAGCCUGCUCCAGAGCAGGCUAACAGCCAGGCUAAGAUUAAUCCUGGAGUCUUGUGUUAAAUCAGCUGCCGCUCUGAUCCGAAAUAAACG